rnacentral:rRNA from 1 species
GAUGAACGCUAGCUACAGGCUUAACACAUGCAAGUCGAGGGGUAACGAGAGGAAAGCUUGCUUUCCUUGUCGACGACCGGCGCACGGGUGAGUAACGCGUAUCCAACCUGCCCCCAACUAGGGAAUAACCUUGCGAAAGUAAGACUAAUACCCUAUAAUUUCCUCAGAUGUCAUCUGACGAGGAAUAAAGAUUUAUCGGUUGUGGAUGGGGAUGCGUCUGAUUAGCUUGUUGGCGGGGUAACGGCCCACCAAGGCAACGAUCAGUAGGGGUUCGUAGGGGAAGGUCCCCCACAUUGGAACUGAGACACGGUCCAAACUCCUACGGGAGGCAGCAGUGAGGAAUAUUGGUCAAUAGGCGGAAGCCUGAACCAGCCAAGUAGCGUGCAGGAUGACGACCCUAUGGGUUGUAAACUGCUUUUAUACAGGAAUAAAGUUAGCCACGUGUGGUUAUUUGUAGGUACUGUAUGAAUAAGGACCGGCUAAUUCCGUGCCAGCAGCCGCAGUAA